CAACAUAUCCUUCAGGUUUUUAUUCCUUCUGUAUGCCGAUAUAACCCUAAAAUUCUCCAACUCACCCACAGAUUGUUGAGCCUGUUGAAAAUGAAAUUUAAGUCUGGAGGAAUCUCUUAGAGUAUCCGCGAGGACCCAAGGCUCCGAAGAGCGUUCUAGUGGCCUCUUCUACAUCUUCGAGGAAGUCUUGGAAUUCCCCAGGAGAAUGCUCCCAUAUCCCAAAGAUAUCAUCAAGAUAUCUGUAGUAUACUAAAG